AUGUCACUACCUUCUGGCAAGGCUCCGGGUCCGGACGGAUUUACGACUAGUUUUUUCAAGAGCUGCUGGGAUCUGAUUGGUCCAGAUGUCACGGCUGCACUGAAUCAGUUAUUUAAUCUUAGGGGUAAGAGAUGGAAUCUCCUCAACUCUGCACAAAUAACCUUAAUCCACAAGUCAGAUGAUGCUGUCCGUGUUAAGGACUUCCGCCCCAUAAGUUUGAUGCAUUCAGUGGCUAAGAUUCUGUGUAAAACACUCUCUCUCAGGCUUGCACCCUUCCUCUCCACUUUGGUGCCAUACUCUCAAAGUGCUUUCAUCCAGACUAGAUGCAUACAGGACAAUUUUCUCUAUGUGAAGAAUGCAAUUCGUAUGCUGUACAAAAAUAAGGAGCCUAGCCUCUUCCUGAAGCUUGAUAUUGCUGGUGCUUUUGACUUGGUCUCUUGGGGUUAUUUGCUGGAACUGAUGCAGCGGCUAGGCUUUGGCGCCAAGUGGUGUGACAUGAUCAGCCUGAUCUGGGGUUCUGCUUCAUCGAGAGUUAUGGCAAACGGCGAACUUGGAAAUCGUUUUUAUCACCGUCAAGGUCUGAGGCAGGGUGACCCUCUGUCACCUAUGCUUUUCACGAUUGCGAUCGCGCCGUUGCAUUGGCUGUUUCUAAAGGCUACUACUGUUGGUGCUCUGACUCCACUUCAUCUGCCGCCUUCUCAGCUGCGGGUGAGUCUAUAUGCCGAUGAUGCUGCCCUAUUUUUAUCUCCGACUUCUAGGGACAUUGAGGUCUGCAAAGGAAUUUUUUGUGCUUUUGGCAGCGCCUCUGGACUAUGUGCUAACCUUACCAAGAGUGGUGUCUACCCUGUUUGUUGUGAAGAGCUUGACCUUCAGGCUUUGUUGCAAGCCUUCCCAAUCGCGGUGAUGCAAUUCCCAUGCAAAUACCUCGGCCUGCCAUUACACUACAGGAAGAUCUCGAGGAACGAUGUGCAGCCAACCCUGGACAAGAUGGCCUCGAAACUGCAAAGAUGGCGUGGCAAACUGCUCUCAAGCGAUGCGAGGGUGCGGCUGGUUAACUCGGUCCUCUCUGCCAUCCCCACAUACCUCAUCUCGGUGUUCAAGUUGGACAUAUGGGCCAUCAAACAAAUUGACAAACUCCGAAGGAACUUCCUAUGGAGAUCCAAACCGGAGGCCUCUGGAGGAAUUGCACUUCUGAAUUGGGCCACGGUCUGUCGCCCAAAGAGGCUUGGAGGUCUCGGUGUGCUGGAUAUCAGGAAGUUUGGGCGUGCUCUUCGGCUUCGCUGGAUGUGGUUAGAUAAGCAAAGGGAGAUCAGGCCUUGGACUGGCUCCGUUAUUCCUUGUGAUGAGGUCGACCAGGCACUUUUCAGAGCAUCCUCCACGCUUAAUUUUGGGAAUGGCAGGGACACCUCCUUCUGGCAUGACAGGUGGCUUGACGGCCAAGCUCCCAAAUUCAUGGCCCCUGAUCUGUUUGUACUAAGCACCAAGAAGAAGAUUAGCGUUUCCGAGGCAAUCAAUGGCCAGGCCUGGAUGGCAGGAUUGCGGCGCAUCACUCAGACCUCGCAGCUUCGUCAGUACACACACCUUUGGCUUAGACUACAACAGGUUCAGCUUAACUCUGAAGUAGAUUCAGUCUCUUGGAAGGGCACCACGGAUGGUGUUUACUCUGCACGGUCAGCUUAUCAAUACCAGUUCAUGGGCUCAUACUCCAGUAUCAAUUUUGAGAAGCUUUGGAAGACCAAGGUGGAGGGAAAAUGUCGCUUCUUCAUGUGGCUGUGGUUGCGAGGUCGUGUCCUAACCAAUGAUAAUCUCCAGACCAGAGGGAUCCCUCAUGCCAACUGUGCCCUCUAUGCGAUCAGGAGGAGGAGACACCCUUCCAUCUAA
rnacentral:rRNA from 1 species